rfam:Pelodiscus sinensis unplaced genomic scaffold scaffold117, whole genome shotgun sequence.
CCUCCACUGAUGAUCUAGCCUGAUGACUUUCGUUCUUCUGAGCGUGCUGAAGCCAAUUCUGUGAUCUGAGGAGG